UAUUGAUAAGCAGUAGCAGUAACAUUACAAUCAUAAUUGUGUGGUGGGCGUAGGUGGAGGCUUUAGAGCGUAGGCCGGGGUUUGGGGAUUGAACUGAUUUUUACUUACUUGGGUGGGCGUGGUGGUUUUCGUCUGCCUUUCCGGGCCGAUGUGAAGACCUUUGCCAGGCGAGCCACUUCCUCUGCCGUCUUGGGGUCAUGCUCUUUGACCCAGAUCUCCAGGUUUGGAUUGAACCAUUCUCAAGUACUGUUCCAGGAUAAUAGUCUCAGUCUUUUACUGUUGACUUCUCUGGUCUUACAUACAGCUCAGGCUCCGUCUUCAAGGACCAGAACUGUCUUCUAUAGGUUUCAGGUGUAAUUUUGAGUCUUGAUGUCCAUUGAAACAUAAACAAUCCAUCUUUAGGUCAGCGACAGACAUGAGCCAUUCUUUCACAUGUGGUCAGGAAGUGCUCGAUGUCAUCUUCUGCUGCUAAUGGCUGUAGUUUGGGAUAGAACCAAAACUCAUCUGGAUCAUUGUAACCGUCAUCACCAUCAUCUCUCCCCGAGAGGGUCAGGCUCAGGUCGCCGUUGUCUCUGUUUGAGCACUUGCUGUUGUUUCCAUCUGUUUCCAUCUGUUGAUCUUUAACUGCUCGAGCUGGAAUAAGAGUUUUCACCAGACCUGCAGGUUCCUCCAGCUUCUCGUCCCUGGACCUGGUUCCACUGCUGAGCCGGUUCCUUCGUCUGGUUCCUCACGUCCAUUUUUCUUUCCAUGUCUCGUGGUCAUGUCACUGCAGUGACAUGACAGUGACACUCUCUGACACCACCUGUUAGAAUGACAUAUUACAGUGACACUGAUGAUGGACGAGGAUAAACACACACGUCUCAGCAACACACACACGCAUGUAAAAUGGCUGCCUUUAUACUGUGGCCCUGAUUGUCAGCUCUGGUGCUACCAUGUGCAGGUUUCCCAUCAACAUCAUUACUAUCAACAAACUAUGUAUUUUUAACUUAAUAUUUUGAACAAGUUUUUACACAUUUUUAAUAAUGUUUUUUUGUAAUUAUUUUAUUAAAAACAAACUCUACAAUCAACAUUAAGAUUCCAAAAAUCCUAUCCAUCUUCCACAAGUUCCCCUCUCCUUUCUCCUCACUUGGUUUGACCCGGAACCAUAAAUAAGUUCCUGCUGGACGUGGGACUCUUUUACCCGAACACCGUGCUGCAACAAAACAAGAAGGAGGAGCUGAGCGACCAACACAUCACCUGCCUCAACACAAACUAUUCUAACACAUGUUUUAUAGAAAAUGUGCAAACCUGCAAUAAAGUGCAUAUUAAUAUUAAAUAUGUUAAAAAUC